rnacentral:rRNA from 1 species
AGGGGAGUGAAAAAGAACCUGAAACCGUGUACGUACAAGCAGUGGGAGCCUCUUUUAUGGGGUGACUGCGUACCUUUUGUAUAAUGGGUCAGCGACUUAUAUUCUGUAGCAAGGUUAACCGAAUAGGGGAGCCGAAGGGAAACCGAGUCUUAACUGGGCGUUAAGUUGCAGGGUAUAGACCCGAAACCCGGUGAUCUAGCCAUGGGCAGGUUGAAGGUUGGGUAACACUAACUGGAGGACCGAACCGACUAAUGUUGAAAAAUUAGCGGAUGACUUGUGGCUGGGGGUGAAAGGCCAAUCAAACCGGGAGAUAGCUGGUUCUCCCCGAAAGCUAUUUAGGUAGCGCCUCGUGAAUUCAUCUCCGGGGGUAGAGCACUGUUUCGGCAAGGGGGUCAUCCCGACUUACCAACCCGAUGCAAACUGCGAAUACCGGAGAAUGUUAUCACGGGAGACACACGGCGGGUGCUAACGUCCGUCGUGAAGAGGGAAACAACCCAGACCGCCAGCUAAGGUCCCAAAGUCAUGGUUAAG